GAAAAGAUAAGCUAAAUUAAGCUUAUGGGCUCAUACCCCGUCUAUGAAGAAUUAUUCUCCUUUCA
rnacentral:tRNA from 1 species